ACGAGAGGCCCUAGUUGAUAUGAUCGGCGUAAAGAGUGGUUAUGGGAACACAACAAUAAAGCCAAAGACCCUCCAAGCAGUCAUACGCACUCGAGGACUCGAAACGCCAGUACGAAAGUCGCUUUAACUUACCCACCAGAACCCACGACAGCCGGGAAACAAACUGGGAUUAGAUACCCCACUAUGCCCCGCCGUAAACUUUGAUGUCUUAACACAAAAAACAUCCGCCAGGGGACUACGAGCGUCAGCUUAAAACCCAAAGGACUUGGCGGUGCUUCAGACCCCCCUAGAGGAGCCUGUUCUAGAACCGAUAACCCCCGUUUAACCUCACCACUCCUAGCCUCUCCCGCCUAUAUACCGCCGUCGUCAGCUUACCCUGUGAAGGCAUUAUAGUAAGCAAAAUGGGCACAACCCAAAACGUCAGGUCGAGGUGUAGCGUACGAAGUGGAAAGAAAUGGGCUACAUUAUCUGAAACAGAUUACUAACGAACGGUCCCCUGAAACAAAAGACCCGAAGGUGGAUUUAGCAGUAAAGAGAGAGCAGAGCGCCCUCUUGAAGCCGGCCCUGAAGCGCGCACACACCGCCCGUCACUCUCCCCAACAACUAAAAACAUAAGUAAUUUAACAAAACAAUAACAAAAAGGGGAGGCAAGUCGU
rnacentral:rRNA from 1 species